CCUACGGGAGGCAGCAGUGAGGAAUAUUGGUCAAUGGGCGAGAGCCUGAACCAGCCAAGUCGCGUGAAGGAUGACGGCCCUACGGGUUGUAAACUUCUUUUGUCAGGGAGCAAUUUAGUCCACGUGUGCGCUUCGCGAGAGUACCUGAAGAAAAAGAAUCGGCUAACCCCGUGCCAGCAGCGGCGGUAAUCCGGAGGAUGGGAGCGUUAUCCGGAUUUAUUGGGUUUAAAGGGUGCGUAGGCGGAAUUUCAAGUCAGCGGUAAAAAUUCGGGGCUCAACCCGGUCGGGCCGUUGAAACUGGUGGUCUUGAGUGGGCGAGAGGUAUGCGGAAUGCGUGGUGUAGCGGUGAAAUGCAUAGAUAUCGCGCAGAACUCCGAUUGCGAAGGCAGCAUACCGGCGGCGAACUGACGCUGAAGCACGAAAGCGUGGGUAUCGAACAGGAUUAGAUACCCGAGUAGUC
rnacentral:rRNA from 1 species